CCGGUUGAUCCCGCCGGAGGUUACUGCUAUCGGUGUUUGCCUAAGCCAUGCGAGUCAAAUGUUCUUCGUGAACAUGGCAUACUGCUCAGUAACACGUGGAUAACUUGCCCUCAGGUCUGGCAUAACCCCGGGAAACUGGGGAUAAUUCCGGAUAACGCAUAUGUGCUGGAAUGCUUUAUGCGUCAAAGGUCCUCCGCCUGAGGAUGGGUCUGCGGCCUAUCAGGUAGUAGCGGGUGUAAUGUACCUGCUAGCCGACGACGGGUACGGGUUGUGAGAGCAAGAGCCCGGAGAUGGAUUCUGAGACAUGAAUCCAGGCCCUACGGGGCGCAGCAGGCGCGAAAACUUUACAAUGCGGGAAACCGUGAUAAGGGGACACCGAGUGCCAGCAACAUUUGCUGGCUGUCCACGUGUGUAAACUACACGUGUUAGCAAGGGCCGGGCAAGACCGGUGCCAGCCGCCGCGGUAACACCGGCGGCCCGAGUGGUGAUCGUUAUUAUUGGGUCUAAAGGGUCCGUAGCCGGUUUGGUCAGUCUUCCGGGAAAUCUGUCAGCUCAACUGAUAGGCUAUCGGGGGAUACUGCUAGACUUGGAACCGGGAGAGGUAAGAGGUACUACAGGGGUAGGAGUGAAAUCUUGUAAUCCCUGUGGGACCACCUGUGGCGAAGGCGUCUUACCAGAACGGGUUCGACGGUGAGGGACGAAAGCUGGGGGCACGAACCGGAUUAGAUACCCGGGUAGUCCCAGCCGUAAACGAUGCUCGCUAGGUGUCAUGCAUGGUGCGACCGUGUAUGGUGCCGUAGGGAAGCCGUGAAGCGAGCCACCUGGGAAGUACGGCCGCAAGGCUGAAACUUAAAGGAAUUGGCGGGGGAGCACAACAACGGGUGGAGCCUGCGGUUUAAUUGGAUUCAACGCCGGAAAUCUC
rnacentral:rRNA from 1 species